GGGGGGGGGGGGGGGUUCAUCUUCGCUUCAAUAAUGCACUAUAGGAGCUCUUGUUAAGGAAGGAAAUGGGAGCAUAAGUUGUGAUGAUCGAUGGGUACUGGCUGUUCUCCCAUUCAGAGAGUUGGAGCUCCUUGUUUUUAAAAGCAAUAUUCUUAGGGCCAAAUUCUAGAUAUGUAAAGCCAAAAAGUUUAGGAUGGAGUCAGGGUCGCCAUCAGGGAGGUACAGCCGUUGCACAUGUAAGGGGCCCUCGUGUCAAUGGGGCCCAUGCAAGGGAGGGUGGAGGGGUGGGACGGAUCUCACGUGUGUGCGGUGGUGGGAGGUCAGGUGCCAGGUCAGUGGACCCCAUGGAGGAGGACAUCGGGGGGCAGGCCUAAAGCUGUGUAAGGGGCUCCACAAUUUCUGAUGGCUGCCCUGGAUUGAGUAGGGAAGGGUUAGGACCCCUGUGAGUGUUUUUAUUUCUUUUGGGAAUUUUACCUUUUACUUCCUGUCCAAGUGACACAGCAGGAACUAACAGGAAAUCUCUCUAAAGUGAGGGUUGUCCAGAACAGAUUGAUUUCCCCUCUUCUGUGACCACUCAAAAAAAAAAUUGGAUUUCCUGUCACUUUCUCUACCGGAGGCAAUGGCCUUCAAGACCAUUAAUAACCAGUAUUGCUAUGUGCAUCAGAAAUAUGAGGGAUUCUAACACCUGUACUAAACUCCAUCCUAAAGUAAUAGAACGUUUUUGGCUUUACGUGUCGAGUAUGAAGGAAAAACUAAAAAUACAGAGAAAUGUUUGAUGGAUUCACUGGAGCGAAUAUCAUGUUUUGCAGUUUCUCCAUUGGAAAUUAUUUUCUUUCCUAGCAAAAGCUGAAUGUUUUUCACUGGUAGAUUUACAUUGAAGACAUUUCUCUGUAAUUUAGGAUGAAUUAAUUAUCUACAAGAUAACUGACACUGUUCAAUGUGAAUUGCACCCACGUGGGGUUUGAUCGAUGUCUGGGCAACUUCUGCUACUUCCACUGUGAGGAGCACUGCUAUAAUAGUGUAAAGGCAGGCUUCCUAUGAGCAGUGCUAGGGAAACCCUUCUUUUGUUUUAUUUUAUGUAUUUUUUUUAAAUGAUGUGACCACUAGUUUGUAGAAACCUGACCAUUACACCUAUAUGGGCUUUUUGGAUAUCUCCUAAACCAUGCCCUCCCCAACCCUCUAUUCCAAUUUACAGCUAUCCCAACCACCACUCUUCUGGGAAAGCUUCCAUAAGAUUUUAGAGCGAGUCUGGUCUGGUGAGGUCAAGUACUGAUGUUGGAUGACCACAUCUGGCUUAAACAUGGUGUUCAAAUUCAUCACAAAGGUCCUCAGUAGGGUUGAGGGAUCUGCAUAACACUUAAGUUCCUCCACACUAAACUGGUCAAGCCAGGUCUUUACGAAGCUGGCUUUGUAUGCAGACGACUUGGCUUGCAAUUGUCAUUCUAAUUUACCCUAAAGGUGUUCAGUAGUGGGCUUCAGGUCAGGGUUCUGUGCAUGACACUCGUGUUCCUCCACACCAAACUGGUUAAAACAUGUCCUUAUGGAGCUGGCUUGGUACUAAGAAGACCUGGCUUGCAAUUGGUGUUACAGCAGUUGUAUUCUUUGUAGUUGAGGUCAAGCCUCUGUAUAGGCAACUCGUGGUUCUUCUAAUCAUACUGGUCAAACCAGGUCUUUACAAAGCUGGCUUUGUAUGCAAGAGACUUGGCUUGCAAUUGGCAAUCAAAUUCACCCCAAAGGUGUUCAGUAGUAGGGUUCAAGUCAGGGUUCUGUGUAGACCACUUGAGUUCAGGUCUUUAUGGAACUGGCUUUGUAUGCAGAAGACUUGGCUUGCAAUUGUCAUUCCAAUUCACCCCAGAGGUGUUCAGUAGAGUAGGCUUCAGGUCAGGGUUCUGUGUAGACCACUCGAGUUCCUCCACACCAAACUGGUCAAGCCAAGUCUUUGUGGAACUGGCUUUGUAUGCAGAAGACUUGACUUGCAAUUGUCAUUCCAAUUCACCCCAAAGGUAAUCAGUAGAGUAGGCUUCAGGUCAGGGUUCUGUGUAGACCACUCGAGUUCCUUCACAGAAAACCAGUCAAACCGUGUCUUUACAGAGCUGGCUUUGUAUCCAGGGGCACAGUUAUUGUAACCAAAAAGUUUAAUUUUUGUCACCAAUCUGUCAGCAUUAGGUUGGAAGAGCACAUUUGUCAUAAUACCAACGCCCUUCCCUGGAAAAUACCUGAACACUAUCAUUUUGAGGGGAUGUUAACAAGUAGGUGUAAAGGUCGGGUUUCUACAGAUUUUUAGCACAUGUGAACAGAAUCUCUAAACUUCACCAUCCUGUGAAGUCGCUCCAUCGCUACAAGAACUAGGAUUUUGCUGUCCUGUCGUUGUCCCUUUUUGCUAAUGAUUAAGUUUAAGAACCCUUAGAUGUGAAUUCAAAUGCAGGACACUACUUCAAUUAUGGGUACAAGAUUGUAAGAUAUGACUUUUGUUUUUGUUUUGUUUUUUUUGUUUUUUUUUGUUUUCCUUUUUGCCUGUAUAAUUAGGUCAACUUUCUUUCUAAAUAUUUUUUUUUCUUUUUUUUAAUGUAAUAUGUGUGAAUCUUAUGCUGCUCAAACCAGCCUUUGCGAACUAUGGACACGGAGUUGUAGAGGAACUACAAGAUUCGGCUUGCACUGCGUUGGCCUUUUAACAGCUCCGUGGCCAACAUUUGCAAAAGCUGUGUGUAUUUUUAUUUUAUUUUAUUUUGUAUUUUAAUUAAAUUAAAUCUUACCUGGGUUCUUACAGAGAUGGUAGAGAACUUGGUAUAAUAAAUAUCAGGGGGUGACUGAUCGGCUCCAUCAAUCAUAUCAAAGGGCUUUGGUUUCCCCAAAAGUUUUCUCGUA